rnacentral:tRNA from 1 species
GCAUCAGUGGUUUAGUGGUAAAAUCCAUCGUUGCCAUCAGCAAUCAUCGAUGGGCCCCGCGUUCGAUUCGCGGCUGAUGCA